GCCUUCGUGGUGUAGUGGACAGCACGCUCGACGCGUAACCGAGAGGUCCGUGGUUCGAUUCCCGGCAAAGGCG
rnacentral:tRNA from 1 species